CUUGAGUGGUAACUGUAGUGGGGAUUAUGUUUUCCAAUGUGCCUGGAAAACCUAAUCCCCACUACUUUGCAUUUAUCAGCAUUAAAUUUAAUGUGCUGUUUUGUUGCUAAUCGCACAGUUUUGUGAGAUUCCCUGGUAACUCUUUGAAGUCUGCUUUGGACUUAACUCUCAAGUAAUUUUGUAUCGGCUUCCAAUUUUGCCAUCUUGCUGUUUACCCCUUUUUCCAGAUUUAUGAAUAUGUGGAACAACACUGGUGCCAGUACAGAUUCCUAGGGGGCACCACUAUUUACCCCUCUCCAGCCACUAUUUACCUUUGACCAUAUCAGCCUUAGUCAUCUAUGUUUUGAAAAUUUUGGUUAACAUUAUUAGCCACAAGCAAUAUUUUUUCCUCUUUAAAAAGAGAGAAAAUAAAUUAAAUGUUAAAAAACCCUACAUUCCAGCACUGUUAUGAAACUAAAUCAGAAAAAUAAGGAAGUGAAAAAUCCUCUGCCAAUUUUAAUUUGUCUGCACAUAAAAAUACUAUGUGUGUAUAAUGUAAGGAGUCAAGCAAAUUAGCAUGGCUUGAUUUCGGAAUAUAGGAAAGUACUAUACUUGAACAGAUCUGUGAUCUGUUUAGUCAGAUAUUUGGUUUCCCAAUGAAGGCCAGUACUUCAGAAGAAGGUGCAAGUCUCCAUAAGAGACAAUUAUGCAGUGACAUGCCAAUAAGGGAAUGUUUUUAACCUCUGGGCUUAGUGGCUGACGGGCAUGAGGUUUGUUGUAUAACGCUUUCAAUUCCUUACUUUGAUGUGUUAAAUGCAUUAUCUUAACAUAGGUUUUUUGCAUUUAAUUAUUUAACAUGGAAGGAGGAAAAUAUAUUUACUUAAGGAAUGCAUAUACAUCUCUCUUGUAACCUACUCUUUGUGGGAUCUCCCACCAUAAAACACUAAUUUACUUAAAGAUAAUUAGCUUGAUGCUUAAAAUAAAACUACACAUUAAACUGUGGGGUUUCCAUGUCUUUAAUUUUGGUUACUGCUGUCUGUACUGCUUGGAAAGAGGGACUGCACAAGAGCAGUUAUAAGGCUGAAUGGUGAUCCUUCUUCACUACGGGGGUGUAUGAGAGGGAGCGGUGUUUUAACUGGUGCCGAGAGAGUUUUGUUACUGUACUGUAGACUCUAUUAACUAAGCAGUUCAACAGCAUUUUACCUUGAAAUCACAACAGUAUCUGACAGGUCCAUAGAGCUUGAAAUAAGCAAGCUUUAUGUGGAUAUAAUAGAGGAGAGUUGGAAAGUGAAGUCCAUCCCCUGCCCUCUCCAGACACGUGGUUCUGACCCUGGACCUUCUUCCCAGCCACUAUUACAACUUGUAAAUUAGAAUAACCACUGCAGCACUUUGUGCAAUUGCAGUGGGUUUUGGGGCCACUGAAAUUCUGUAACUACAGAUUCCUUGGCUUGUCCUCUAGUCUACCCCCUUGUAGUCUCUCUGCCACCCUAUCUGGGACCAACACAGAAACCCUCUUCAUGGUAUGCAGGAAGUGCACAGAUGCCUGUGCAUAGUAGGCCUGUGAUAUCUCCCUAAAGUACAGAUUAAGUCAUUCAGAUUGCCAUAUGCUAGCCCUCUUUACCAUGUGUGAAUUUUACCCUAUAAGGGUUGACACUAGUGGGGCUUCUCUGUACCACUAGGAUUGAGAGGGAUUUUGAAAGUAUUGAUGUAGUACUUACCUAUCUUAGGUAUUUACAAGGUACCUACUGCUUUGGUAUCUAACCUGUUGUUACUCAUAUUAGAGGAACUCAAUGAGCUGAAGCCUUCCAGUUACAGGGAAUCUCUUUGGCGGGGGAAAAGAUGCUCUCAGUGGCCUCUGAAAAUACCCAAAUCAAUUAAAAGAUAGAGCAUGAAGUCUAACUCUUUACCUGAUUGCCUGCAGGUGAGGGAAAGAGAACUUGCACAGGUAAUCUGUCUUUGUGUCACUAGGAAUUUCCAACUCAAACUACUACUGCAAAAUUUUGUGUCCUGAAUAUCCUUUUAAUCCUGCGAUCCCACAUUCCCAGUGAUACCCUCUAUUUGUGCAUUAAUGUGUUCCUUUCUGUUGACCGUGUUCAAAGUAUAAAAAAAUUAGACAUGAAGUACGGUCAUAUCAUGGAAUUGCUUUUUAUGUGUAGGAGAUUCUGGUUCCUU